rnacentral:misc_RNA from 1 species
GACGAGAGUGAGAGUGAGAGUGAGCGUGAGCGGGCUUGGUGUUGCUGUAUACAGUGGUGAGUUUGUUUGGAUCUGGAUCUCGAUCUGGACCACUCGAGGUUUCGUGGAGAUCACUACCACCGACGCCACCACAAGAAAGAGCUUCAUGUCCUGCCAAAUGCAGAGAAAUUUCUGAAGCAAGAGAGUCGCGGUCGUGCGCAUCAGAAGCAAAAGAGCAGCGAUCAACACUGGCAGAAGCAGAAGAGAAGAGACUAAAGUUGGACUCGAGAGUGAAAAUGACAGAGUCAGGGCUAGCAUCGCGAGCUCUAAACCCCGAUCUGGACGAGCUCUGAUCCCGAUACAUAAGCUCCGGCAUUUUCAAUAUUCAGUUUCUUGCUUGGUAGCCUCAGAGGAAGCCAAAGAAAUCAGAAAGCGAGUGAGAUUUCGUCAUUGGCUUCUGUUAUGGGUUUGGAGAAUCUGCUUGCAUUCAUGGCAAGUGGCGAGGCGAGUUAUAUGGCGGGUGCUAAAAGGACGUUACAUAUGUCAUUCAUCAGUUUUUUUUUAUAUAUAAUAUUAUAAUAAAGGCAACCAGAGAAAAAGACAAAUAAAUUUUUAAGGAGCUUUUCUU